UCUUGCCAAGUUGCUGAGACUGGCCUCAAACAUGCCAUUCUCAUGCCUCAGCCUCUGGAGUUACUGGGAUCACAGGCCUGUAUCAACACUUCAGUCUUCACUUUUUUUUUUAAAUGGGUACAUUAUAGUCGUACAUAAUGAUGAUAUUUGUCAUCACAUAUUUUUACAUACACACAAUAUAAAAGUAUAAUUUGGCCAAUAUAAUUCCCCAGUAUUUCCUCUUUCCUUUCUCUCCUCCCUCCCCUGAUCCCUUGCCUCUAUUCUACUGAUCUCUGUGAUUUUCAUGAAAUCUCCCCACAUUUUUUUCCCUUCUUUUCCCUUUAGUUUCCACUUAUUAAAGAAAACUUUCUUUACAAUUAUCCACUCGUUUUCCUGCACAUGACAUAAUUUCAUUCUUCUUCAAGGCUGUAUAAAACUCCAUUGUGUAGAUAUACCACAUUUUCUUAUUCGCUCACCUGUUGACAGACACCUAGACUGGUUCCAGGGGCUAUUGUGAAUUGUGCUGCUGUAAACAUGGGUCUGCAUAUAUCACUAUAGUAUGAUGUUUUGAAUUCUUUAGGAGAAAUACCAAGGAGUGGUAUAACUGAGUCCCUAUGAUGGUUCCAUUCCUAAACUUUUGAGGAACUUCUGUCUCGCCCGUGUCCCACUUAGGCAAUUGAAAUGGGGUUCCUCUCUGUGGAAUGGGCUGGCUGCAAAAUGAAAGCUAAGAAAAACAGAAAUGUGAAAGAACUACAGAACCCAAAAUAUUUUUAGAAAGAAGGGCCAGGCGGGUUAGCCAAUCUUAGGGAUCAAGUUUCCACACUGAAAAAGGCCAGAGGCAGCCUACUCUUGCUUUAUUUAUAUGGAAAGACAUCAAAGGUAGGGAUAAGGUUUCAAGGGCAGAGUCUUGAGUUGUUUUUCAGUCAGCAGGUUGAUUGACAUCUUGGCAGGUCAUACCCAUCUCAGGUGCUGUAUGGGACCUCUGGCAGAGCUUGAGGGGGAAGUUCACCUGCAUCAGGUGAUCCAGGGGGUGUCACAGGAGGUUCCCAAUGCCAGACUUAACCCCUCAUUCGGCUACUAUGGACAACAUAGUCCACACAGCCCACAGACGGCUUGUGACACUUUUGCACUAAUUUCCAUAGUGGUUGUUCUAAUUUACAGU
rnacentral:lncRNA from 1 species